CUACGGGGGGCAGCAGUGGGGAAUAUUGCACAAUGGAGGAAACUCUGAUGCAGCAACGCCGCGUGGAGGAUGACACUUUUCGGAGCGUAAACUCCUUUUAUAUGGGAAGAAGAUGACGGUACUAUAUGAAUAAGCACCGGCUAACUCCGUGCCAGCAGCCGCGGUAAUACGGAGGGCGCAAGCGUUACUCGGAAUCACUGGGCGUAAAGAGCGUGUAGGCGGGUUGAAAAGUCAGAAGUGAAAUCCUAUAGCUUAACUGUAGAACUGCUUCUGAAACUCUUAAUCUAGAAUAUGGGAGAGGUAGAUGGAAUUUCUGGUGUAGGGGUAAAAUCCGUAGAUAUCAGAAGGAAUACCGAUUGCGAAGGCGAUCUACUAGAACAUUAUUGACGCUGAGACGCGAAAGCGUGGGGAGCAAACAGGAUUAGAUACCCUGGUAGUC
rnacentral:rRNA from 1 species